rnacentral:rRNA from 1 species
UACGUAGGGUGCGAGCGUUGUCCGGAAUUAUUGGGCGUAAAGAGCUCGUAGGCGGCUUGUCACGUCGGGUGUGAAAGCCCGGGGCUUAACCCCGGGUCUGCAUUCGAUACGGGCAGGCUAGAGUGUGGUAGGGGAGUGUGGAAUUCCUGGUGGAGCGGUGAAAUGCGCAGAUAUCAGGAGGAACACCCGUAGCGAAGGCGGCACUCUGGGCCGAUACUGACACUGAGGAGCGAAAGCGUGGGGAGCGAACAGG